GAUGAACUCUAGCUACAGGCUUAACACAUGCAAGUCGAGGGACGGGCGCACGGGUGAGUAACACGUAUCCAACCUGCCCGUUACGCGGGGAUAGCGUUUCGAAAGAGAGAUUAAUACCCAAUAUAAAGGAUGGGGAUGCGUUCGAUUAGGUUGUGGGUGAGGUAACGGCCCACCAAGCCUUCGAUGGAUAGGGGUUAGGAUAGGAAGGGCCACCACAUUGGAACUGUGACACGGUCCACACUCCUAGGCGAGGCAGCAGUGAGGAAUAUUGGUCAAUGGGCGGUAGCCUGAACCAGCCAAUUAGCGUGAAGGAUGAAGGGUUAUGGGUCGUAAACUUCUAGUAUAUAAGAAUAGGUAUUAUAUGAAUAAGGAUCGGCUAACUCCGUGCCAGCAGCCGCGGUAAUAC
rnacentral:rRNA from 1 species